AAAUUGAAGAGUUUGAUCAUGGCUCAGAUUGAACGCUGGCGGCAGGCCUAACACAUGCAAGUCGAACGGUAACAGGAAGCAGCUUGCUGCUUCGCUGACGAGUGGCGGACGGGUGAGUAAUUUCUGGGAAACUGCCUGAUGGAGGGGGAUAACUACUGGAAACGGUGGCUAAUACCGCAUAACGUCGCAAGACCAAAGAGGGGGACCUUCGGGCCUCUUGCCAUCAGAUGUGCCCAGAUGGGAUUAGCUAGUUGGUGAGGUAACGGCUCACCAAGGCGACGAUCCCUAGCUGGUCUGAGAGGAUGACCAGCCACACUGGAACUGAGACACGGUCCAGACUCCUACGGGAGGCAGCAGUGGGGAAUAUUGCACAAUGGGCGCAAGCCUGAUGCAGCCAUGCCGCGUGUAUGAAGAAGGCCUUCGGGUUGUAAAGUACUUUCAGCGGGGAGGAAGGUGUUGUGGUUAAUAACCGCAGCAAUUGACGUUACCC
rnacentral:rRNA from 1 species